rnacentral:tRNA from 1 species
UCCCUGAUAGUCCAGUGGUUAAGACACUGAGCUUCCAAUGCAGGGGUGCUGGUUCAAUUCCUUCUCAGGGAA